CAGAAAUUGAACGCCUUCUGAGAGAUGGAAUGAUUUAUGUGGAGUUCAAGUAUGCCUGGCACUCGCUUUUAGCAAGAAUACUUCGGUUUUACAAAGAUGAAACGCUACAAAUGGUAGAAAACUGUGAUCGAGUAAAAAGUGUAGAAGACUGUUUAAAACAUGGAGCAAACCCAAGCAACAGAGGAGGUCCUGGGGUAACUGCCCAGGCCCCUAAUGCUAACGUGUGAGUGUGAUUCACCUGCGGCGGAACAGGUGAUGUCGUUACUCUUGGAUCACGGAGCUGAAGUGAAUCAACAGGAUUUUUAUGGACGUACUGCGCUUCAUUAUGCAUUUGAAUCCGGAGAUGACACUGAAGAAAGACUUGCUCGAAAACAACGUGCUAUUGAAAUCCUUAUUCAGCACAAUGCAGACAUUUAUCUAAAAGAUUCGUCUGGGCUUUCCGCCUUUGACAUGGCUAAGCGUCAGGGACACGAAUCAUGGUUAAGAACCGCGAUGAAGCAUCAUUGACAGGAACAUGCUUAAAGCGGAAAAGAAAGAGAUCGUGCUCCGAAGAAAACUAAAGCCAACUUCAAUCUGGACAAGUCCCUUUCUAUACCAUCCAUGCCAUACCGUACACUUACCGUCGUAAUGAAGACAGUUGUGGUAUGUAAAAAGAAAACAUAUAAGUAAUUUUACUAGUGAUGCACCGAUAUCAGUGUGUCGGUAUCGGCUUAUCGGUACUAAAAUAGAAAUAUCGGUAUCGGUAAUUUUGUUGUUGAUAUUACCGAUAUCUAAGGAAACUAGUUAAACGAAUUCUUUACAUCUAAAAAUUACGAAAAAUCAAAGUUUUGACUUGAAAGUAUUGAAAAUCAAAAUCUAAAAGUGGAAACUCAAUACAAUAUGCUAGUUUGUUGCAUGCAUUUGCAGCAUUUCAUUUGAUAUUUUCGGUAUUUAGAAACAAAUUAAUUGAAUUAAAUUCAAAAGUAUUAAAGUAGAACUGUCAUGAUGACAUCUUUGAAUUUUGUGAAAUGACAUACAAUAUCGGUAUCGGCAAAAUAUCGGUCCUUCAAUAUCGGUUACCGGAAUAUCGGUAAACUUCCACAUCGGUGCAUCACUAAAUUUUACUUAAUUCUGCUUCUGAGAGGCAGAUUUGAACACUUAUUAAGAUUUUCAAGGAACAGCUAGCCUAAUUCAAGGCCAAGGGACGGUUGCACGAAGACCAGAUACAGUAGCGCUAUCUACCACGGACAGUGAUUUUUCAACCCUUGUAAAAAUUCGUGAAAAGCUGUAAAACUACGGAUGUGGGCCUCACAUUGAAUAAAAAAAAGUUUAAUUUACAAAUACUAGAGUUCAAGCUGAGUUCUACCAAAUCAACGGACAAUUUUAAAAACCUGGAAAAAUCACUAUCCGCUGGAUAGCGCUAUUUGACCUUCGUACAGUAUGUGUUGAACCAGCCCCAGGUCACGAGAUACAGACGUUGAACUGGCAAUACAAUUAAGUAACAAUAUAUAGCAUUUGACAUUUGUAUAUUCAUAAAUUUCAUGUAGUUUUAAAAGCAGUUACUGUUAAAAUUUUGAGAAGUGUAACAAUAUAUAGCUAGCACUAGUUGCAUAUUCAUAAAUUUGUGGUUUUAAAAGCAGUUACUGUCAAAAUUUUGUGAUGUGUUUAUUUGUCCAUUAAAGUUAAAAACACUGAAAUAUCAGCAC
rnacentral:lncRNA from 1 species